GGAAAAGAAAGAAACAAAGAAAGAAGGGGAAGAAGAAGAAGGGAAGAAGAAGAAGGAAGAAUGGCUAGAUUUUUGAGGUUUCUCUAGCAAGGAUGGAUGCCGGCAAGGGGAAGAGAGGGAGAGUGGUCUAAAAGCAAGAAAUUAGAGAGAGAAAAGGAGAAAGAUGAUGAAUAGGAGCAGAAACAGGGGUUGAGCAGGGGUGGAAACUUUGUCUUCCGUCCAGGUGAGUUU
rnacentral:misc_RNA from 1 species